rnacentral:rRNA from 1 species
CACGUAGGCGGCUUUUUAAGUCAGGGGUGAAAUCCUGGAGCUCAACUCCAGAACUGCCUUUGAUACUGAGAAGCUCGAGUCCGGGAGAGGUGAGUGGAACUGCGAGUGUAGAGGUGAAAUUCGUAGAUAUUCGCAAGAACACCAGUGGCGAAGGCGGCUCACUGGCCCGGUACUGACGCUGAGGUGCGAAAGCGUGGGAGCAAACA